AAACAUAACGAGUUCCGGGGAGAUACCAUGAUCAUGAAGGCGGUUUCCCCAGGGCGCUUAUCCCUUGCACUCUGGAUAUACUGACCCCUGUGAUUUCCCCAAAUAUGGGAAGGAAACCUCAGCAGCAUAAUUUGUGCUGGUGGGGGAGCUUUAAGAAAAGAGUCUUAC
rnacentral:snRNA from 1 species